UCUUAGAGAUGAGCAAAGGAAGUGGUUUCUUGAGAUGGAAACUUCUCUUGGUGAAGACACUAUGAA
rnacentral:pre_miRNA from 1 species